rnacentral:rRNA from 1 species
GAUGAACGCUGGCGGCGUGCUUAACACAUGCAAGUCGUGGGGCAGCAGCUCUGUAGCAAUACAGAGGCUGGCGACCGGCAAACGGGUGCGGAACACGUACACAACCUUCCUUCGAGUGGGGAAUAGCCCGGGGAAACCCGGAUUAAUACCCCGUAACAUAAUGAAGUGGCACCACUUUAUUAUUAUAGCUCCGGCGCUGGAAGAUGGGUGUGCGACUGAUUAGGCAGUUGGCGGGGUAACGGCCCACCAAACCUACGAUCAGUAACUGGUGGGAGAGCACGACCAGUCACACGGGCACUGAGACACGGGCCCGACUCCUACGGGAGGCAGCAGUAAGGAAUAUUGGUCAAUGGACGCAAGUCUGAACCAGCCAUGCCGCGUGGAGGAGGAAGGCCCUCUGGGUUGUAAACUUCUUUUAUCUGGGACGAAAAAGGGACUUUCUAGUUCAACUGACGGUACCAGAGGAAUAAGCACCGGCUAACUCCGUGCCAGCAGCCGCCGUAA